AACGAACGCUGGCGGCAUGCCUAACACACGCAAGUCGAACGAGACCUUCGUGUCUAGUUGCGCAGGUGUGCGUAACGCGUGGGAACCUGCCCUUAGGUUCGGAAUAACUCCCCGAAAGAUGUGCUAAUACCGGAUAAUCUCUUCGGACCAAAGAUUUAUCGCCUUUGGAUGGGCCCGCGUUGGAUUAGGUAGUUGGUAGGGUAAAAGCCUACCAAGGCGACGAUCCAUAGCUGGUCUGAGAGGAUGAUCAGCCACACUGGGAAUGAGACACGGCCCAGACUCCUACGGGAGGCAGCAGUAGGGAAUAUUGGACGAUGGGCGAAAGCCUGAUACAGCAAUGCCGCGUGAGUGAUGAAGGGCUUAGGGUUGUAAAGCUCUUUUACCCGGGAUGAUAAUGACAGUACCGGGAGAAUAAGCUCCGGCUAACUCCGUG
rnacentral:rRNA from 1 species